GCCUACGGGACGCAGCAGUAGGGAAUCUUCCACAAUGGGCGAAAGCCUGAUGGAGCAACGCCGCGUGGGUGAAGAAGGUCUUCGGAUCGUAAAACCUUGUUGUUAGAGAAGAAAGUGCGUGAGAGUAACUGUUCACGUUUCGACGGUAUCUAACCAGAAAGCCACGGCUAAUUACGUGCCAGCAGCCGCGGUAAUACGUAGGUGGCAAGCGUUAUCCGGAUUUAUUGGGCGUAAAGGGAACGCAGGCGGUCUUUUAAGUCUGAUGUGAAAGCCUUCGGCUUAACCGGAGUAGUGCAUUAGAAACC
rnacentral:rRNA from 1 species